GGCGCGCCAUAGGGCGCACCUUAGGGCGCGCCUUAGGACGCCCCACUGCAGGUGGGGAGGUAGGAGGAUAAAACUACUGACGUGGCGCGCCUUAGGGCGCCCCAUUGCUAAUGCUCUAAGCCUUUGAAUGUGUUCAAAUGAUUUUGUCACGUCAAUGGAAAGUCAGUAUAUAGUGAAGUGAUUACAUUAGAACUUAGAAGUUAAAGUAACAGUAGCAACGAUAAAAAUUGAAUUAUGUUGAUACUAUUAACUUGUAUACCAUAUAUUGCAUGAGGUGAUCACUCUCAUGCAGAGUCGGAGAAAAGUGAAAGCGCAAGACUAAGAUAACUGAUAUAUGAAGACGCUUUGGGCCUUCGAGGUUAAGUUAUAAAUUUUGACAUCAGAGUAGCGCAACAGCUGCAUCUUCGGCGAGUCACUAGUGGUUUGUGAAAGUUUAGAAAGUGUGGCAUGUUUUGUAUGAAGCUUUGGAUAGUUCAUUUCCGCUGCGAUGUUCUAUUAUGAUAAAUUUUCUGUAAUGUAUUGUGAUUUGAGUGUCCACAAUGUCGAAUCAUGGCGUCAUUA